UACGUAGGUGGCAAGCGUUGUCCGGAUUUACUGGGCGUAAAGAGCGCGCAGGCGGUCGUUCAAGUCGCGUGUGAAAGCCCCCGGCUCAACUGGGGAGGGUCACGCGAUACUGAUCGACUGGAAGGCAGGAGAGGGUAGUGGAAUUCCCGGUGUAGCGGUGAAAUGCGCAGAUAUCAGGAGGAACACCGGUGGCGUAGGUGGGUCUCUGGGCCGUAACUGACGCUGAGGAGCGAAAGCAUGGGGAGCGAACAGG
rnacentral:rRNA from 1 species